UACGUAGGGGGCUAGCGUUGUCCGGAAUCAUUGGGCGUAAAGGGCGCGUAGGCGGCGCGGUAAGUCACUUGUGAAAUCUCUGAGCUUAACUCAGAACGGCCAAGUGAUACUGCAGUGCUAGAGUGUGGAAGGGGCAAUCGGAAUUCUUGGUGUAGCGGUGAAAUGCGUAGAUAUCAAGAGGAACACCUGAGGUGAAGACGGGUUGCUGGGCCAACACUGACGCUGAUGCGCGAAAGCCAGGGG
rnacentral:rRNA from 1 species